rnacentral:rRNA from 1 species
AUUGAACGCUGGCGGCAGGCCUAACACAUGCAAGUCGAACGAGGGGCGAGCGACGGGGUAAUGUCUGGGAAACUUCCCGGGGGUGGGGGAUAACUACUGGAAACGGUAGCGAAUACCGCAUCGCAUCAGAUGUGCCCAGAUGAGAUUAGCUUGUUGGUGGGGUAACGGCUUACCAAGGCGACGAUCCCUGGCUGGUCUGAGAGGAUGACCUGCCACAGUGGGACUGAGACACGGUCCAGACUCCUACGGGAGGCAGCAGUGGGGAAUAUUGCACAAUGGGCGCAAGCCUGAUGCAGCCAUGCCGCGUGUAUGAAGAAGGCCUUCGGGUUGUAAAGUACUGUCAGCGGGGAGGCGUUACCCGAAGAAGAAGCACCGGCUAACUCCGUGCCAGCAGCCGCGGUAAUUC